CAAUAGCGUAUAUUAAAAUUGUUGCGGUUAAAAGCUCGUAGUCUAAAUUUAUUUGUUUGUAGGCAUUAGGGCAAUUUGUCUUCUUUGUUAUACUUACAAAUUAUCUUUAAUAGAUAAAAUUACUUUGAGGAAAUUAGAGUGUUUAAAGCAAGCAUGUGUUUUGAAUAACGUAGCAUGGAAUAAUGGUAUAGGACUCUUGUCUUAUUUCAUUGGUUUUAGGGACUUGAGUAAUGGUUAAUGGGAACAGUCGGGGACAUUCGUAUUUAACUGUCAGAGGUGGAAUUCUUGGAUUUGUUAAAGACGAACAACUGCGAAAGCAUUUGUCAAGAAUGUAUUCAUUGAUCAAGAACGAAAGUUAGGGGAUCGAAGACGAUCAGAUACCAU
rnacentral:rRNA from 1 species